rnacentral:rRNA from 1 species
AUUGAACGCUGGCGGCAGGCCUAACACAUGCAAGUCGAACGAGUGGCGGACGGGUGAGUAAUGUCUGGGAAACUGCCUGAUGUAGGGGGAUAACUACUGGAAACGGUAGCUAAUACCGCAUACCAUCAGAUGUGCCCAGAGUGGAUUAGCUAGUUGGUGGGGUAAAGGUUCACCAAGGCGACGAUCCCUAGCUGUUCUGAGAGGAUGACCAGCAACACUGGGACUGCGACACGGUCCAGACUCCUACGGGAGGCAGCAGUGGGGAAUAUUGCGCAAUGGGCGCAAGCCUGAUGCAGCCAUGCCGCGUGUAUGAAGAAGGCCUUCGGGUUGUAAAGUACUUUCAGCGGGGAGGCGUUACCCGCAGAAGAAGCACCGGCUAACUCCGUGCCAGCAGCCGCGGUAAUAC